AGUGAAAACAGAUCACUGGAAGUGUCUACAAAACAGAUGGAGAAUGCAAAAUGAUGGAGAUGCAAACAUCAAGAUAGUUAACACCUUUCUAGUGUUAAGUCUUGAACGAAAACUGUACUCAGCCCGACUAAUUUGCAAAUAGUACAUGAGUAGGCAUGGAAUUUCAGAGAAAAAAACACAUGAGUCUUUGACAGCUGAAAUUUAGGCCAACUACAGCUUUAAAACAAGCAUUGAAUUGCUUAUCUCUCAACAUUCAUAGCAGAUCUUGAUAAACAACACUAACUAAAUUGAGGCUAAAGAUGAACAACAAAUCCUACAUUAAUCUAGGCACAGCAAAUUACAACUCAAAUUAGCAGGGAAAGAGCUGACAGUGUUCAGCAAUGCAACAACUCAAGCAGACAUCCAACCUCGAAUAGGCUGUCACAUUUCCACAACAGAACCAUUCAAAUAGAGAUUUAAACUCAGAAAAUUAACUCGAGAUCUUGACUUAAAUGAAAACUCGACAUCAUGAUAGCAAUUAAAGCAUAAGCAUAGAGGAUGACCCUUCAAACUCAGCUUUUACUAACUGAACAUACUCAACUACAUCACACCACUGCGAAGAGAUUCACCAGCAAGAAAUUUGAUCAUAACACAAAACAGACUACUAUAAACUGAAUCUCAUAGCUCAAAAGCACCGGAACAAAACAGAGUCGCAUAGAAUAAAAGAGAGGGAAAGUAAACCUGAAUUUGCAAAUCUCUUUUAUGUAACAAUUAUAAACUCGACAAGAUGACAGUAGAAAACCAAGCUCGAAUGUCAAUUUGUAUCUCCUUCAAACUCAGAUCCAGAUUCAAAAAUAAAAAUUAUAUAUACGUUUCUCUUAAACUUUGAAAGAACUCUUCAAAAAAAGAAAAAAGAAAUGGAAUCGGAAAACCAGAAAAAAAAUUGAAGCCUUUCAACUUUUCUCUAAAUUUUUUUUUUCAAAAUCAGAACUGACCCUAUUUUAAAAGUAAUCCCUUGAUGAACGUAGGGCUCAAAUUGAAUGACCUCAAUCCAAUGCCUCACACUAAUCCAGUGAAUCCGCUCUAGGACCUUCCAAAUUGUGAGAUAUAUCCAAUUCGAGCGAUAAGAGAGGAGAGGAAUCUCGCGGUAGAAAUCGUUAGAAGUGUAAGAGGAGGAAUUGAGGAACGCGUGGUUGAGGGUUUGAGCUUCACUCGCUUGAACUCUGACUAAUUUGGGGCUUGGUUCGAAUGGUGUUUGGAGAAGAGGAGCAGGGCUGUGUCGUUUGAGCUCAGGAGAUUAGGGUUCUUGGUUCGUUUUGUGUUGUAAUUUGGGUCAGCGAGCGGGUCGGGGCGGGUUAAAUGGGUUAAGGGGUGUGUUCG
rnacentral:lncRNA from 1 species